AUUGUACGCUGGCGGCAUGCCUUACACAUGCAAGUCGAACGGCAGCACGGGAGCAAUCCUGGUGGCGAGUGGCGAACGGGUGAGUAAUAUAUCGGAACGUGCCCAGUCGUGGGGGAUAACGUAGCGAAAGCUACGCUAAUACCGCAUACGAACUAUGGAUGAAAGAGGGGGAUCGCAAGACCUAGCGCGAUUGGAGCGGCCGAUAUCAGAUUAGGUAGUUGGUGAGGUAAAGGCUCACCAAGCCGACGAUCUGUAGCUGGUCUGAGAGGACGACCAGCCACACGGGGACUGAGACACGGCCCAGACUCCUACGGGAGGCAGCAGUGGGGAAUUUUGGACAAUGGGCGCAAGCCUGAUCCAGCAAUGCCGCGUGCAGGAUGAAGGCCUUCGGGUUGUAAACUGCUUUUGUACGGAACGAAACGGCGAGCUCUAAUACAGUUUGCUAAUGACGGUACCGUAAGAAUAAGCACCGGCUAACUACGUGCCAGCCGCCGCCGUAA
rnacentral:rRNA from 1 species